CUGGGUUCUUUGUGCGACUAAGGAAUAGUAGGUGUGGUUAGUGACCUUCUAGUGCAUUCUCUUGGCAGGGUCAGGGCCUGGGAACCCCUCGGCUUACCUAGGUCCACCCAGGUUCUUGCUGGUGGUGUGACUCCCUCUGAGGCUUAGACAGUUCCAUGCAGUUACCCCUCUGCUCCAUGUCCAGUUGCUCCUGUCCAGUACACUUUUUGCAUUAUAUCUAGGAGCUUAGAGAGGCUUGAAGGGGUUAAAAGAGGCUUGAAGUUCAGGCCUUCUCUGCUUCAUUGCCAUUUUCACUCUGGUUUCUCCAUGAAAAGACACAAGGUAAAAUCCCCAGUGCUCUCAACUUUCCCUUCACUCUAGCUAAACCCCAAUCCCAGGAUUUUAGCCUAGAGGGGAAAAAUUAGAUACUCUCUUGACCACCCAGCCUCUGCCACUUUUUGCCUCAGUCCACCAGGCUGUGAGAGGUGGAUUUUCCCCACAACCUCCGUUCCAUGUGGUAGAAAAUAUCCUUGUUAUUGCUUGUGUUUUUGCUGCCCCUGGUGGAGAAUGAAGUUCUGUAAUCUACUCCAAUGGGGCAUGCUAAAUGGGAGAGGAAGGAAUUUGGAAAAUUAUUCUGGCCAAAGACUGGUUUUAAAACUUACUACAACUCAAAAAAUAUGAUUCUGGAGACCAAAUCAUAUUUGGAUUUGGAGAGCAGUGCCUCCUUCCUUUUUUUUUUUUUUUUUUUUUGGCAUUCCUGCACAAAUGUCCACUGAAUUGAAUUUUCUUGGCUACAGUAUAGGGAAUCAGAGAUACCAAAAAAUAUUCCAUCAACAUGGAUAGUGGUACCUCUAGAUGAAAAUAAGCCCCGUGAGAUUCCCGGAAGGAGGACUGUGCCUCUCCCAGUGCUCAUCUGAUGGCUUCUUCCAUGUCAGACACAGGAGACAAGAAAUGAAGGCCAUUGAGAAGCUGCUUCAAUCCUACACACACCCCAAAGAAAACCAUACAUUUGUCUACAAACAGGGCAGUGCAAGUUCAUCUGCAUCUCAUUAUUCAGCUGCAAGAAUAAGCAGUCUGACACUUGGUUUGGUCUGGGAACAAAUUUGGUGA
rnacentral:lncRNA from 13 species